rnacentral:rRNA from 1 species
GCGGAGGAAAAGAAACCAACAGGGAUUGCCCUAGUAACGGCGAGUGAAGCGGCAACAGCUCAAAUUUGAAAUCUGGCGCAAGCCCGAGUUGUAAUUUGUAGAGGAUGCUUCUAGGUAGCGACCGGUCUAAGUUCCUUGGAACAGGACGUCAUAGAGGGUGAGAAUCCCGUAUGUGACCGGCCCGCACCUUCUACGUAGCUCCUUCGACGAGUCGAGUUGUUUGGGAAUGCAGCUCUAAAUGGGAGGUAAAUUUCUUCUAAAGCUAAAUACCGGCCAGAGACCGAUAGCGCACAAGUAGAGUGAUCGAAAGAUGAAAAGCACUUUGGAAAGAGAGUUAAAAAGCACGUGAAAUUGUUGAAAGGGAAGCGCUUACAACCAGACUUCUGGGCGGUGUUCCGCCGGUCUUUUGACCGGUCUACUCGCCGUCCCGAGGCCAACAUCAUCUGGGACCGCUGGAUAAGACCUUAGGAAUGUAGCUCCCCUCGGGGAGUGUUAUAGCCUGUGGUGAUGCAGCGCGUCUCGGGUGAGGUCCGCGCUUCGGCAAGGAUGUUGGCGUAAUGGUUGUCAGCGGCCCGUCUUGAAACACGGACCAAGGAGUCUAACAUCUAUGCGAGUGUUCGGGUGUCAAACCCCUACGCGUAAUGAAAGUGAACGGAGGUGGGAAGGGUAACCUGCACCAUCGACCGAUCCUGAUGUCCUCGGAUGGAUUUGAGUAAGAGCAUAGCUGUUGGGACCCGAAAGAUGGUGAACUAUGCCUGAAUAGGGUGAAGCCAGAGGAAACUCUGGUGGAGGCUCGCAGCGGUUCUGACGUGCAAAUCGAUCGUCAAAUUUGGGUAUAGGGGCGAAAG